GAUUCACGCUACCGAGACUGCAUUUAUUCUCGCGAUUCAGGCCAGUGCAGCUAUGCAAUUAACAAAAAGUCUUUCAAAGACUAGAGAAAAGUUCCACGCCACGAGAGAUAGUGAACAGAAACUGAACAGGGGAAACUGUCAUAUCGAAGGAAGCAUAUUCAAAUGAGGGGGAUUUUUUCCUGUACUUUGCUUGUAUAACUGCAAAAGGUUACUGAAAUGUUGUAAAACAAUGUUCAAGAAUCAUGCACAAGAGGAACUUAUCACCUUACUGUUUACAUAUAGUGUGCUAAAAGUGUCCUAGUGUGGCAGAAGUACACUGAAAUAUGUAGUCAUCAUACAUGGCUAAGUAUAAAAACAUAUUGUUAAAAUAUGAGAAGGUUGCUGACAUUUCAUUUUGGCAUUUUUAUAACCAACCUCAUUUUCUUUUUCAGCUUCAACAUCAACAAACAAAAUGGGUUCUCGCAGCUCUUCAUUCCUUGCAAUAACAUGAUCAUCUGCAUGUGGGGAUGAAAGCUGUAUCUCACCAGCUGAAUCUGCCUCUGUCUCCAUAACAACAUUCUUCCUAUUAAAUAAACAUGCUCAUAUUUGUACCCACACCUGACACAAGUUAAGUAACAGAGAACAGUAUUGAAAUAAAACGAGUUGAUUGGUGCAUUAGUAAUAUGUCAAGCCAGCAGGUUUAAAUUCCCAUCUGACACCAUUUAUCCCGACUUCUUUUUUUUAUAUUUAUCAGUCUCAUUUCUCCAAGACCAAAAUCAAAUUACUUCUUACUACAACUCGUUCAAAAUUACAUAAGUUUCCUUAUAUUUACUUAUUCAUAUCGGUGAAAAUAAAAGAUAUUACAGGAA